UUUAGACCAACAACAGUGAUUGGGUUUUCCCCUUCUAUCCUUGAUCUUCUACGCUAAAAACGCGCCGUUUUCAUCCGUUCCAACAAUGGAGGCGGCCAUAUGGAGCGAAAGCACAGAAUAGAGAAGAAGAAGAAGGAGAGAACCAGAAAAAGAUGGAAGAGAAGGCUUGUAACUUGAAAUUCUUCUGCUUCGCUAUGUAUUACAACUUGAAGUUUUCUUUUGAAGAUUGGUCCCUCCCGUUGUUCUCCUCUAUGUGUGGGUUCAAGCAGAGUUAUGGGCAUUCCUAAUUGGUGCAUUUUCACCUUCAAGUGUGCACUUAAGCAAGCAAACUGAACUCAGAAGUUCAUGUUUGUAGCAGAAAAAUUGAUCAAGUGGAGGAAGAAACUGUGGACAUAACUCAAGGAGUUAUCCAAGAUGAAGCCCCAGAAACCCACCAAGAUGUAAUUGAAUUGCAAAGAAGUGAGCCCCAACAUGAGGAUCUUCCAAAAGAGUGGAGAUACCAUUGAAGUCACCGAAAGGAAGACAUAAUUGAUAGUCCGAUAGUCCAUCUCAAAGGGCGAUGAUAAGAGCUCAACUUUUUAACUUCUUUGAUAAUGUAGCCUUUGUUUCUCAUAUAUAACCUAAAACAUAUGUUGAAGCUUAAAAUAAUGAAAGCUGGAUUCAAGGUUAAUCAAUUUGGGAGAAAUAAGGUAUGAAAGCUUGUUCCUAGACUUUUACAGAAUAAUUACCUUUCAUUGUUCAAUUGAUGAAUUCUGCAGAGUUUUAUUCUUCUUCUUUUCCCGUUCCUAUCUAUCUGUAAGCUUGUGAUAAAACCUUAACAAAUAAUUACAUUUAACAAUCCAGUUGAAGAAUUCUGCAGUUUUCUUUUGUUAUUCUCUCCUUAAUUUUUUUAAAUUAGAUGAACUAUUUAUAUUUCUGUCCUAUUUUUAUUGUCAGCAAUAACUGGCUUAAGUAAAAUCAUGUAUCACUGGGAACCAAACCGUAGUUUGCUAGUACCCUGAGCAUCUGUAAGCAAAAAUUUGGUGUAGCUUCAACUGUUUUAUGUUACAUUCCAUCCUGUGAUACAAUGGUGAAGUGACAAAAGUUAACAAUUUCAGGUUAUAGAGUAGAUUCCAAUAGUUGCUUUUCCCUAACCUAUUUGUUCCUUAUUUAAUUUCUGAGGAGACUUCCUUUGAAUGUUAUUAAUUCUAAUUGUUUUAUAACCCAAUUACUGGAAACAAACAAGAAAAAAUAACUCACAAAUAUAAACCCAAAACCAUGCAUAACAUUUUCUAUUGGAUUGUUAUAUUUUUCAUAUGUUGGGGCGAGCACAAAUUUAAAUCUUUAAUUUUCAUUUCCAGGUUUCUACUCAAAUCUUUUGUGCUAGUGUUUUGUAUUCUCUUGCUGAGGAAUUGAUAACACCUCAGGACUUCUCAAAUUUACACCCGCCAUUGCAAUAAUUGGAUAUAUUGCUUCACUCCUGUAACCUGUAAAGAUUCAGGCUUGUGGAUAAUCUUUAGUGUUUUGGAAAACUUUUGCUAAACAAGUUUACCUUGUAAGCCUGCAAAAUGGGAAUCUUGUGCCAGAGGACAAGAUAGAGAAAGCACUGGAAAUUAUAACCAACACUUGCUGGGACAUUGAGGCUGUGAAGAUCACAUAUUAGAAUUGUAUGAGUUUGCAGGUUUGGGUGGGACAACUUCUCAAGAGCAGAGAUGUAUAAUCAAACAAGGAUGGAGAGGAGAGGCCUAUGGCUAGCCCUAGCCACAGGUCAGGUUUGACCCAGAAGAGUGGUCAAGAGUUCUCGGUUCCUGCACGAAACCGGGACCUCCUGGGUGGUUAAGGGUCCUAGCCCCAAACCUGAACCAGAGUGGACCGGAAUUGCUAAUGUCAAAAAUUUCAUCAUCUUCUCACUUGUUGGAUCAACUGGGUUUCUGGCUGAUCAAAAGUGAACUCUUUUAUCCUGUUGUGUGCUUGCAACUUGAUGCCAUGUCUUCCCUGCUCUCUAGUGUUCAUGAAUUUCUUAGAGGUACUUGGCCAUUUGAAUCAAAUAAUAGGUGCACAGGGAGAUGAACAAGGCAUUGAAGACCAACUCAGAAGAAGUAGAUACAUAACCUUGUUUUGGUAUUAAUUUUAUAAUUAAUGGAAGGAGAAAUUUUGCUGUGGGUGAAAGUUGUUCUUUGCUUGUGGGCAAUGCUCAAGGUGCUCUAU
rnacentral:misc_RNA from 1 species